rnacentral:rRNA from 1 species
UACAUAUGGGGCAAGCGUUGUUCGGAAUUACUGGGCAUAAAGGGUGCGUAGGUGGUCUAUUAAGUCAGGGGUGAAAUCCCGCGGCCCAACCGUGGAACGGCCUUUGAUACUGAUGGACUUGAGUGCGUGAGGGGUAGGGGGAACGAGCAGUGUAGCGGUGAAAUGCGCAGAUAUCAGGAGGAACACCGGUGGCGAAGGCGGGUCUCUGGGCCGAUACUGACGCUGAGGAGCGAAAGCGUGGGGAGCGAACAGG